GGGUCUAGUGGCGCACGGGUGCGUAACGCGUGGGAAUCUGCCCUUUGCUUCGGAAUAACAGUUAGAAAUGACUGCUAAUACCGGAUGAUGUCGCAAGACCAAAGAUUUAUCGGGAAAGGAUGAGCCCGCGUAGGAUUAUGUAGUUGGUGGGGUAAAGGCCUACCGAGGCGACGAUCCUUAGCUGGUCUGAGAGGAUGAUCGGCCGCACUGGGACUGAGACACGGCCCAGACUCAUACGGGAGGCAGCAGUGGGGAAUAUUGGACAAUGGGCGAAAGCCUGAUCCAGCAAUGCCGCGUGAGUGAUGAAGGCCUUAGGGUUGUAAAGCUCUUUUACCAGGGAUGAUAAUGACAGUACCUGGAGAAUAAGCUCCGGCUAACUCCGUGCCAGCAGCCGCGGUAAUACGGAGGGAGCUAGCGUUGUUCGGAAUUACUGGGCGUAAAGCGCACGUAGGCGGUUCAUCAAGUCAGGGGUGAAAGCCCGGAGCUCAACUCCGGAACUGCCCUUGAAACUAGUGGACUUGAAUCUUGGAGAGGCGGGUGGAAUUCCGAGUGUAGAGGUGAAAUUCGUAGAUAUUCGGAAGAACACCAGUGGCGAAGGCGGCCCGCUGGACAAGUAUUGACG
rnacentral:rRNA from 1 species